rnacentral:other from 3 species
GCAGCCCUGCAAUGCCCGUGAUUGACUAGUUUGAGGGCGAACCAACAACAGACUCACGGGAGCAAGGUGAAGGUACGUGGAUGUGAUAGCCCGCCCUACCAGGGGAGAGGGCAAGACGGAAGCGACCAGCCGGCGCCCACCUACGAACCUCGGUUCGUACCCACUGGAUCACACGACAUUGCGGGGUUGGA